AUUUUGUUCUUCAAGGGUAUCUACGUGAUUGAAUCUAGCCAACAUGUUUCGGUUUGCUAAAGCAGCGCUUAACCUCUCCGGACAAGGUGCCCGUCAAGUUCGGUUCAAUUCGUCUGAGGCCGCCGACUUCCAUUCCAAGUAUGGUACUGGAUUAUUGGUUGGCGGAUUUGCGUUCUGUACAGCUGUGUGGGCAUUUGUAAUAACACAAACCGGUAUCACAUGGAAUCUAUCCCCAGUUGGUAAGGUCCAGCCCAAACCCUGGAGGGAGGAAGAAGAGUAACAGAUUCACUGCUCUCUUUUUCCCUGUGGAAAAUCAACCUCAGCAGACCAAUGUCCUUAUCCCAGAUAUUUCUAUAAGCAUUCUGGUUGUACAGAUGUAUACCCACUUUGUCAGCAUGUUGCCAUUCUGUCAUUACCAAUGUAAAAAAUAAAGUGUAAACCAAUUGUU